AGCCGGACCCCACGCGGUGUCCAUCUCGUGAAUCUCCCCAGGGCCGGAAGGCAGCAAGGAUAAGCGGGCUCUGACAGGUGCGUGGGGUCCCCUUUUU
rnacentral:SRP_RNA from 1 species